rnacentral:rRNA from 1 species
UACGUAGGGGGCAAGCGUUAUCCGGAUUUACUGGGUGUAAAGGGAGCGUAGACGGCUGUGCAAGUCUGAAGUGAAAGGCAAGGGCUCAACCUUUGGACUGCUUUGGAAACUGUGCAGCUAGAGUGUCGGAGAGGCAAGUGGAAUUCCUAGUGUAGCGGUGAAAUGCGUAGAUAUUAGGAGGGACACCAGUGGCGAAGGCGGCUUGCUGGACGAUGACUGACGUUGAGGCUCGAAAGCGUGGGGAGCAAACAGG